rnacentral:rRNA from 1 species
CAGGACGAACGCUGGCGGCGUGCCUAAUACAUGCAAGUCGUACGCUUCUUUUUCCACCGGAGCUUGCUCCACCGGAAAAAGAGGAGUGGCGAACGGGUGAGUAACACGUGGGUAACCUGCCCAUCAGAGGGGAUAACACUUGGAAACAGGUGCUAAUACCGUAUAACAAUCGAAACCGCAUGGUUUUGAUUUGAAAGGCGCUUUCGGGUGUCGCUGAUGGAUGGACCCGCGGUGCAUUAGCUAGUUGGUGAGGUAACGGCUCACCAAGGCCACGAUGCAUAGCCGACCUGAGAGGGUGAUCGGCCACAUUGGGACUGAGACACGGCCCAAACUCCUACGGGAGGCAGCAGUAGGGAAUCUUCGGCAAUGGACGAAAGUCUGACCGAGCAACGCCGCGUGAGUGAAGAAGGUUUUCGGAUCGUAAAACUCUGUUGUUAGAGAAGAACAAGGAUGAGAGUAACUGUUCAUCCCUUGACGGUAUCUAACCAGAAAGCCACGGCUAACUACGUGCCAGCAGCCGCGGUAAUACGUAGGUGGCAAGCGUUGUCCGGAUUUAUUGGGCGUAAAGCGAGCGCAGGCGGUUUCUUAAGUCUGAUGUGAAAGCCCCCGGCUCAACCGGGGAGGGUCAUUGGAAACUGGGAGACUUGAGUGCAGAAGAGGAGAGUGGAAUUCCAUGUGUAGCGGUGAAAUGCGUAGAUAUAUGGAGGAACACCAGUGGCGAAGGCGGCUCUCUGGUCUGUAACUGACGCUGAGGCUCGAAAGCGUGGGGAGCAAACAGGAUUAGAUACCCUGCUAGUCCACGCCGUAAACGAUGAUUGUUAAGUGUUGGAGGGUUUCCCCCCUUCACUGCUGCAGCUAAAGCAUUAAUCACUCGCCUGGGGAGUACGUACCUUCAAAGUUGAAACUCAAAGGAAUUGACGGGGGCUCUCACAAGCGGUGGAGCAUGUGCUUUAAUUAAACGCAACUCCUCGAACCAUAUCAGGUCGAGACAUCCUUUGACCACUCUAGAUAUAGAUCAUCAUCCUCCGGAGUAAAGUCACAUGUGGUAGGUGUUUGUCUUCAUCUCGUGUCGAGAAAUGCUGGAUUUCCUGCCGCAACCACCACCCUUCUUAUUGUUUGUUGCCAUCUGUGAGCGCACUCCACUAGCACUACGGCUGAUGACCAAACGGAGGAAGGUAGGGAUGCAAAUCAUCCUACCCGUUACUACCGUCGCUAGCUGCAUGCACGAUACAGCUAGCAGAACGUGUUUGCGCCACGAGGUUAUGCGAUCCGACGCUCUGUACGCAGCUCAGAUCCGUAUUGCAAACUGAUGCUCUGCUGUAUAGUCACUCGUAUCGCGGAUACAUCGGAGAUUCAAGUCUCAUGUUUGCAUUCAUUCUCGCUGUUUCAAAGGCCUUACCCGUUUCACUGGGGACUCUACAUCCCGUUAAAAUCCAGCUGAGGUCGGUUACGCCAAAGAUCAGGACAGGCUUGCAAUUAAUUAUACGCGAGCAGCUGGCCGGUAUUGACCUCGCUUUCUGUUAAAUACAACAAGGGAGAACAGUGCCCACUCCAGGUGUUCUUGAUAGC